UGCCCCAUGGCUAAGUUGGUUUACAGCAUCUAACUGUUGCGAAUUACUUAAAAUUGGGAACUCGAGAGUUCGAAUGUCUAUGGGGUGG